rnacentral:rRNA from 1 species
UACGGAGGGUGCGAGCGUUGUCCGGAAUCAUUGGGCGUAAAGGGUGCGUAGGCGGCGGGGUAAGUUUGAUGUGAAAUCCCGGGGCUCAACCCUGGAAUGGCAUUGAAUACUGCCUUGCUAGAGUACCGGAGAGGAAACUGGAAUUUACGGUGUAGCAGUGAAAUGCGUAGAGAUCGUAAGGAAGACCAGUGGCGAAGGCGAGUUUCUGGACGGUAACUGACGCUGAGGCACGAAGGCCAGGGGAGCAAACGGG